UAGGGAAUCUUCCGCAAUGGGCGAAAGCCUGACGGAGCAACGCCGCGUGAGUGAUGAAGGUCUUCGGAUCGUAAAACUCUGUUAUUAGGGAAGAACAAAUGUGUAAGUAACUAUGCACGUCUUGACGGUAUCUAAUCAGAAAGCCACGGCUAACUACGCGCCAGCAGCCGCGGUAAUAAGUAGGUGGCAAGCGUUCUCUGGAAUUAUUGGGCGUAAAGCGCGCGUAGGCGGUUUUUUAAGUCUGAUGUGAAAGCCCACGGCUCAUCCGUAGAGGGUCAUUGGAAACUGGAAAACUUGAGUGCAGAAGAGGAAAGUGGAAUUCCAUGUGUAGCGGUGAUAUGCACAGAGAUAUGGAUGAACACCAGUAGCGAAGGCAACUUUCUGGUCUGUAACUGACGCUGAUGUGCGAAAGCGUGGGGAUCAAACAGG
rnacentral:rRNA from 1 species